GGGUAGGAGUGGAAGAAUCAGAGUGUUUCUUUGAAAAUUGGCUUGAUGUGUCUGUCCAAGGGUCAUCUGGAGGAAAAAAUACAAGUGCACUCAGACAUGAACUAAUGGAUAAGGAGGAGACAAUCAGAACUGCUUUGGAUUCAGCCCAUAGAAGGGCCAGAGGAGUCGCGCUGACACCUUCAUGUUUAAACAGAGGACACUUUUCUGCGUGCCACUAGAUGUAUAUCAGCCAUACCAAAAUGCUGCCUUUGCCUGAGACAGGGAAGAUGAAAUGACUUUGGGGAAAUGGAGAAUCAUUCAUGAAUCCAGUUACUUUCUGAUCUGACAGCUUUGUGGCAUCUGAAUGGAUAACAAUUUGAUCUGAAGUGCUGAACGUCAACUUGCCAAAUACAAUUGAAUGAAAAGUAUGAGGCCAAUCAGUCUCUUGAAACACUUUCUCUAUGCAAUCAACAUAACAACAUUCAUUGACAAUGAAAAAUUACGUACGUGCUUAAGAAGAUUAGAUUUGAAACAGAGAUUUGUGAAUAUGAAUGGAGCUAUAUAUGUCCCCAUCUCAGGCACCCACCUCAAGUUCACCUGGACUAUCUACAACACCUCUGUCACCUUCCUGGACCUCUCUGUCUCCAUCUCAGAACCUAACCCGGAAGAGAGAGCCCAGAGAAUUGCCAAAGCUGUCCUCAAACAGUCAAUAGAAGUGAAGGAAAAUUGGGAGCAAUUGAAAACCCAUGCAAGCAACUGGCAGAAACAGGUGGAAAAGGCAUUGGAGAAACUUCAAGAACUGCAGAAAGCUCUGGAUGAUCUUGAGGCUCGUGAUAACAGCUGAGGGGGUCCACACUGAUUGGCAACCUGUGGAUGACCUGCUUAUUGACUCAUUGCAGGAUCACAUUGAUAAAACCAGACUAAGUGCAAUUACAUUACACUUCACUUAUGAACAGAUGUAACCGCAAUGUUGUAUCGAGACGAUCAGUAAUAUGAGUACUUUAGUAAUAUUGAUUGAAUGGUUGUUAACUUAAUUUGAAAAUUAAAACUUAGUUGAGCAUGCCUUCUGAUGAUAUCACAUCGGUAAUAUUAGUAUAAUUGAGGAUUCUAUUAGUCAGUGACAUCAGCUGAGUUAUCUGCUUGUUGCUAUGUUAUCAGGAUUAAAGGUAAAGUCUUAGCACGCCAUUUGGCCACUCCUUAGAGAGAGACAACUGGUUAUGAUUUAACCUGAAGAUCACCAUGCCUCGGGCAAGUAGAGGGGUUGAGGCAAAGAUCCUUUGUGGUAAGCUCACUGGUGUGGCAAUUGAGCCCUCUCUGCAGGGCAUCACUUUGCAUCACAAACCAACCGUUCAGCCAACUGAAUUUGAAUGGAGUUUAGGAUUGUAGAGUAAUCCAUGCAAUUGUAUUUUUUUGAAUGAAUGUUUCUAACUGGGACUCUCUCACUGGCAAACUUUUUAAAAGCCAGCUCAGCCAUACAGGUUAGAUAAGUUCCUGAUCUCAGCUGAAUUUUUUGAUCUGGGGUGGGUCAGCGUUAGGAGUUCAGUGAUUGGAAUGAAUUCUCAUUAAAUUAGCGAGAGGGAUACUACACGUGAAUAGACCGAUGUUUUGAAAAGAGGAUGAGAUACGAGCAAAAGUUUAAUUGAUGGAGAAGACCAGCCACAAUCAUCAUCAACGGUGGAGCAGGCUUGAGCAGCCAUGCAACAUUGUGCUGCCGCUAUUUGACUUGCUCCGUGAAGAGGAAGGAAAAGGGUCAAAGUUUCAAA